AAAUAAUGCGUGUUGUCUUUUCUCGCAGACCUCUCUCCAGACGACGACAGCCUUCAGAGAAAACCCUCGUACACUGCAAGGCUGUAAACACGAGGCAAGUUCUUCUAGAGGGGAAACACACAACUCCUCUACAGGACAAGGAGGCUUAGUUUGAGGAAAGCCAUAAUAUUCGAGUUAAUCCACAGACGAAACGUCCGCCAACCCACCUGGAAAACAAAGUGGAGCAUCAACCCCACGGUGCAGUCAGGGAGACAAGUUCUGCCACGCUCUUAUCUGUCACACUGGCUGCUAUCUCUCUCUCCCCUUCCCGUUUGCCUCUUGAUAUGCUCUCUCUCCAGCACUGGG